rnacentral:rRNA from 1 species
UCGAACGAAGCGCCUGCGGCGGACCCCUCCGGGGGAAAGCCGCAGGGGACUGAGUGGCGGACGGGUGAGCAACGCGUGGGCAACCUGCCCCGUACCGGGGGACAACAGCCGGAAACGGCUGCUAAUACCGCAUAUUCCCGCGGGGCCGCAUGGCCCUGCGGGGAAAGCUCCGGCAGUACGGGAUGGGCCCGCGUCUGAUUAGCUUGUUGGCGGGGUAACGGCCCACCAAGGCUGCGAUCAGUAGCCGGCCUGAGAGGGCGGCCGGCCACAUUGGGACUGAGACACGGCCCAGACUCCUGCGGGAGGCAGCAGUGGGGGAUAUUGCACAAUGGGGGGAACCCUGAUGCAGCGACGCCGCGUGAACGAAGAAAUAUUUCGGUAUGUAAAGUUCUAUCAGCAGGGAAGAAAAUGACAGUACCUGACCAAGAAGCCCCGGCUAACUACGUGCCAGCAGCCGCGGUAAUACGUAGGGGGCGAGCGUUAUCCGGAUUCACUGGGCGUAAAGGGAGCGCAGGCGGCACGGCAAGUCCGGUGUGAAAGCCCGGGGCCCAACCCCGGGACUGCACUGGAAACUGCCGGGCUGGAGUGUCGGAGGGGCAGGCGGAAUUCCUAGUGUAGCGGUGAAAUGCGUAGAUUUUUUGGGGAACACCGGUGGCGAAGGCGGCCUGCUGGACGACGACUGAC